rnacentral:rRNA from 1 species
UACGUCGGGGGCAAGCGUUGUCCGGAAUCAUUGGGCGUAAAGCGCGUGUAGGCGGCCAGAUAAGUCCGCUGUGAAAACUCGAGGCUCAACUUCGAGCUGUCGGUGGAAACUUUCUGGCUAGAGUCCGGAAGAGGAGAAUGGAAUUCCUGGUGUAGCGGUGAAAUGCGCAGAUAUCAGGAAGAACACCCGUGGCGAAGGCGGUUCUCUGGGACGGUACUGACGCUGAGACGCGAAAGCGUGGGGAGCGAACAGG